AAUAAAGUGCCUGAUUAAAGGAUUAUUUCGAUAAAAUAAAAUAUAUGUAAAUUUACAUCUUUAUUA
rnacentral:tRNA from 1 species